UACGGAGGGGGCUAGCGUUGUUCGGAAUUAUUGGGCGUAAAGGGCGCGUAGGCGGCCGAAUAAGUCUGACGUGAAAUCCCCCCGGCCCCAACCGGGGAACUGCGUUUGAUACUGUUUGGCUCGAGUCCGGGAGAGGGUAGUGGAAUUCCCAGUGUAGCGGUGAAAUGCGUAGAUAUUGGGAGGAACACCGGUGGCGAAGGCGGCUACCUGGACCGGUACUGACGCUGAGGCGCGAAAGCUAGGGUAGCAAACAGG
rnacentral:rRNA from 1 species